rnacentral:snRNA from 1 species
AUGGCUUAACAGCAUGUAUCCUAAAAUUGGAACAAUACAGAAAGGAUCAGCAUGGCCCCUGCACAAGGAUAACAUGCAAAUCUUUCCCAUAUUUUU